rnacentral:rRNA from 1 species
CGGGACGGGUGAGUAAUGUCUGGGAAACUGCCUGAUGGAGGGGGAUAACUACUGGAAACGGUAGCUAAUACCGCAUAACGUCGCAAGACCAAAGAGGGGACCUCGGGCCUCUUGCCAUCGGAUGUGCCCAGAUGGGAUUAGCUAGUAGGUGGGGUAACGGCUCACCUAGGCGACGAUCCCUAGCUGGUCUGAGAGGAUGGCCAGCCACACUGGAACUGAGACACGGUCCAG